rnacentral:rRNA from 1 species
GAUGAACGCUAGCGGCAGGCCUAAUACAUGCAAGUCGAGGGGUAGAAGAGGCUUGCUUCUUUGAGACCGGCGCACGGGUGCGUAACGCGUAUGCAACCUACCUUCAUCUGGGGGAUAGCCCGGAGAAAUCCGGAUUAAUACCGCAUAAAAUCACAGGAUGGCAUUAUCCAAUGAUCAAACAUUUAUGGGAUGGAGAUGGGCAUGCGUGUCAUUAGCUAGUGGGCGGGGUAACGGCCCACCAAGGCGACGAUGACUAGGGGAUCUGAGAGGAUGGCCCCCCACACUGGUACUGAGACACGGACCAGACUCCUACGGGAGGCAGCAGUAAGGAAUAUUGGUCAAUGGAGGCAACUCUGAACCAGCCAUGCCGCGUGCAGGAAGACUGCCCUAUGGGUUGUAAACUGCUUUUAUUCGGGAAUAAACCUUAUUACGUGUAAUAAGCUGAAUGUACCGAAGGAAUAAAGAUCGGCUAACUCCGUGCCAGCCGCCGCAGUAA